CUAACCCAACUCAUGCCCGGAAAAGUUUCUGAUGCCAUAAUUAAUAAAAGGAAAGCAUGAUGCUUUCUCUUACAAAAGUAACUAGUUUUCAAACACAAGAAAAGAAAAAAAAUCUGUAGUGAGUCAAGAUGGCUGAGAAUGGGAUUGGAGAAUCCUUGUUGAAGAAGAACAAGUACCAUGAGGAUUGCCCAGGUUGCAAGAUUGAACAUUUCAAAGAGACAAACACUGGUGUCCCUUUUAAACAUUUGCUCUAUGUCGGGAUUGUUGUCCUUUGUGCAGCUUUGCCUAUAUCGUCUCUCUUUCCUUUCCUAUAUUUCAUGAUAAGGGACUUCCACAUUGCAAAAAGAGAGGAGGACAUUGGCUACUAUGCUGGCUAUGUGGGAUCUGCUUUUAUGUUUGGAAGAGCUUUAACUUCUGUGCUGUGGGGAAUGAUUGCCGAUCGAUAUGGUCGAAAACCGGUUAUAAUGUUUGGCACAAUAUCAGUGGUUAUUUUCAAUACCCUUUUCGGCUUUAGUACAAACUUUUGGAUGGCAGUUUCUACCAGGUUUCUUCUUGGAAGUUUGUGUGGUAUUCUUGGUCCAAUGAGGGCAUAUGCUUCAGAAGUUUGCCGUAAAGAAUAUCAAGCUCUGGGAAUGUCCAUUAUCAGCACAUCAUGGGGUAUUGGAUUAGUCAUUGGUCCUGCUCUUGGAGGAUUUCUUGCUCAGCCCGCACAGAAAUAUCCAAACAUAUUUUCUACCGAUUCUCUUUUCGGAAGGUUUCCAUAUCUUUUACCUUGCCUUUUGAUAUCAAUCUUUUCUGUGGGAGUAAUUGCCGUUUGUUGCUUGCUUCCGGAGACACUGCACAGUCAUGUAGGAAAUGGCGAAGAGUGCAAUGAUUCUGUAGCGCUUGGGGCUGCCGCAUUCGAGUCUAACUCUCCUCGGAAAAGCCUACUGAAAAAUUGGCCCUUGAUAUCAUCUAUUAUUGUGUACUGUGUGUUCCAACUUCAUGAUAUGGCCUAUGCAGAGAUUUUCUCAUUAUGGGCUGUUAGUCCUAGGAAGAAUGGAGGAUUGAGCUUUUCCACUGCAGAUGUUGGUGAAGUUCUUGCAUUUUCAGGCCUUGGACUGCUACUCUUUCAGCUAUUUAUAUACCCACUGGUUGAGAGAAAUUUUGGACCUGUCAUGGUAUCUCGCAUAGGAGCAGUCUUGACCAUUCCAUUGCUAUCUAGUUACCCUUUUCUAGCUAUGCUGAAAGGCCUUGCCCUCAUGCUGCUGAUCAACUGCGCUUCCAUCCUGAAGAACGUACUCGCUGUAUCAAUCACAACAGGAUUGUUCCUUCUGCAAAAUAGAUCAGUGACACAACAACAAAGAGGUGCUGCAAAUGGAAUUUCGAUGUCUGCCAUGUCCCUUUUCAAAGCAAUUGGUCCAGCUGCUGGGGGUUCUCUCUUCUCUUGGGCACAAAAGCGUCAGGAUGCUUUCUUUUUUCCAGGUGAUCAAAUGAUCUUCUUCCUCCUUAACAUGAUCGAGGUCAUAGGACUGCUCUUGACCUUCAAACCAUUUCUAGCCCUUCCUGAUGACAACAUUUCCUAGUUCAAUUUCAAAGGUUCACAUCAACCAACAGAGGCUAAAAAACCAUGAAGAUUGAUUCCAAAUUCUUUCCCGUAGCUAGCCCAAUUCUUCAACUUCAGCCGACCCUCAAGUGUAUCACCUUAUGUAGGAUUUUUGUACCGUUCCCACCUGUAAUCAACCUGAAAACCACAGAAGAGGUGCCUUCAUGCAUAUUUUCUUCUGGCUUGAUAUAUGACAUCUGCUCUAGUUCCUUCUCUCAUUUUCAAACUUUGGUGGGCUUGUAAAAGAUCUGAAACUACUUCUAGUCUCACAUGAUUAUUAUCAUCCCUCUGGUUACAUAUGCCUGGACAAUGAACUGGCCUCGAGACAAACACCUACUGGAUAUCCUGUCCCAUUCAUAAUUACAAAAUGGAUUGAAGUUCUGCUUCACAUCUCUCACAAGGGCAGCUUGAACAAGAUGUAAUGUCUAGUGUGAUAUAGUGCUGCAACUUCUUGUAGGUUUUGAUUUAGUCCAUGCAGUAAAGUGUUUACAAAAUCAUCCCCAAAGUUUUUAAUUGAAGAAACAUUAAAUGUUAGCUCUGAUAA